AGAUUCCCAUAUGUCAGUGCAAUCCAACGUGCUUCUUGUCACUGUGAGUUCAUCUCUUUUGUUUUUGUAAUGCUUCAGCUUUCUUUCUGAGACUGAUAUCCACACUGUUGUCUCAGCGUUAAAAGUUAGAUGUGGGGCUUCAGGAUGCAGCACUUCUCAGGGCCUCACGUCUGGGGGCAGAGCAGCACCCACUGCUGAGAGCACCUGGAGUGCUGUCCUUGGGGCGGAUGUGUCUGCAGUCUGCUGCAUUAUGAGGAGGAAAGGCUUGGAGCAGCUGGGAUCUGCCUUUCGUAGAAUCAUAGAAUGUUUGGGUUGGAAGGGGCCCUUGAGAUCACCUGUUUCCAACCCUGCGGUUGUAGGCAGGGACAAUUCCAUUUAGACCAGGUUGCUUGUGGCUCCAUGCAGCCUGGCAUUGAAUGCUUCCACAGCCUCCCUGGGCAGCUUGUUCCAGUGUCUCACUACCCUUACAGUAUCAAGCGAUCCUGAGCAACCAGCGCAUUUGUCUCUGGCACUGAUUUGCUGAUAUCAAUGCUGUAGGCUGGACUGCAUUGCAUUAUGUUGGCUAUCUUGAAAAUCCUGCCUAUGAGACUGCCGUUGAUACUCUGGUGAUGGAGUUGUGCUUACCUGUGUGUACUAUGCUUCGUGGCUGCUUACCCUCUUUGUGGAGUUGGACUGAAGUGCCCGCAGAUAUUGCUUUAUUUGUAGCAGAGCAUUCCCUGUGGGGCAGGCAGGGUAAGGGAAGCGGCCCUGUGGGGUUCAAAAUGCUGGGCUGGGAGUGGCCUAGGGCUUUCUGGGGAGUGCUGCCACUGUUGCUCAGUUCUGCACUGACUUUAAGCUCCUACAUCUCUCCUGGGCUUCCUGGUAAAUGUGUGUUGCUGGUGCGUUCUGUUUGAAAUUGUCAUGUACAACUUUUAGGAAUAGAUAGCUAUGUAUUAUUUACUCAUUUACGACAAAUAUCCAUGUAUGGAUCUAUACACAGGAAACCGUCUUAUUUGAGGAAUUUGUCAGUAAUACUUAUCUAGCUGUAAAGCAUAUUAACUGUGUAUAUGCUUUUAAGCAUGCAUGUAAAUAUUAUCUCUCUAGGAUAAAAAAAAAUCAUCUUUCUGUUUGGGAUUGCACAGAAGUGAGGCUUAUGAAGCCUGAACGGUUACACCACAGAGUUCAUUCCAGGGUGGUAUGCAUGCCCUGAUUUCCCUGGGUUAGAGCAGUGGUUAGACAAAGCCACCAAACAGAAACAGACUGAGGGCUUCUUUAAAACACAAAGGUACAACUUGAGGCACAAGGUGUUUCUGGGCUGUUUAUUCCAGGAAGCCAAAAGACUAUCACUGUGUAUUUGCUCUAUGGCUAUCAUUUUUCCUUGGGCUUUAUUAACCAGCCUGUGAAGUGGAGAACAUUGCCUGCUUGGGCUGCUGGUUCAUCCUUGUGCAGCUGUCCUGGUGCUCUGGAGAAAGGUUGCAGAGCACUCAGAGCAUGCUGGCGUUCUCUUCAGGUUACUUCUAAGAACUGAAUCUGCUGCCUCAGCUAAACUGACGUAUCUUGACAUCUUAGUUGGGGGGAACUGGUUGAGUGAUGUGAGUGAUAAUGAAAUCCAGCUCUGACUGCUGUGCUUUUUUUUUUUUUUAAUAUAUAUUUUUUUCUUUUGCUUUCAGUAUGCUUUAUGUAUUUAAAUUGAAAUAUCUCGUAAUUGCUUUCAGAUCCAAAGCUCCAAAAUACUUAGUAAAAGUUAAUAACUUUAUUUAAAGCUUGGUUUGGAAUAUCCUCACUUGAAAAUUGAAUGGAAAAUUAAAUCUGCUUUAGAUUAAAGUAUUUAUUCUAUUAGACAUAUGAGCAGCUUCACUUCGCAGUGUUGUUCAUACUAGCAGGAUGCUUUAUUCAUUUUUAGAAGCCAAGAUGCGAGUUUACUUUGACUGUGGUCCUUGUAUUUUUACAGAGCGAAACACAUCUGUGCUUCCAGGGCAGUACAGCUCUUUCCAAAAGGUUUUCUAGCCUUUUACAUUCUCUUCAAUAAAGCUGUAAAUGGUUGAGAAGCCACAGCCAAGGUGGUCUUACUGAAGAAAUUGUCUGUAUUGUGAAGAAUACAAAGCUGUUAACAUACUGCUGCUUGUCUUCAAUAUAAAUACUGGAGGGAAAAACUAAGUGCCUUUCUCCGUCCUCCACCCAAACUCUAGGAAUUGUCUCCUCUUCACUUUGGCAUGUUGUGUAUGUACUGGAAUAUAUUACGUGCUUUAGUAAACGUCAGGGCUGGGUGAGUUUGUCUUUUUGUCGAGCUGCUUAUAAAUAUUUGGGACUGGUCACUCUUUAAAGGCUGUACUGUUUGGAUCCAAGCCUUAAACUGUGGCUGUGGCAGUUCACUGUCUAAUAUUCUCUGUUUGCUCGCAGGUUUGCAGUGGGCUUUUCUUUGGGAUGAGAGAUAGAUCUCCCAAGUGCUGGGAGCUCUGUUGUUCUGUCCUUCAUCUCUUGGUUCACGCCAACUUUUCUUUCCAGACAUCUGCUGUUUUUCCUGCCCAAAGCUGAGAGCUGUGGGCUAACAACAUAAACUGUCAUUUAAAUGUUGCUUUUUACUUCUUCAAAACAAACUCAAUGUUCUUCAAGACGGCUGCACGACAGAUUUGGGUAAUUGAAGCCCUGUGUGUUAUUAUGGAAGGAGGUGACUAAUAUUUUCAUAAAGCAGUGCUGGUGUAUCUUUAAAUAUCAAAUAUCUCAGGAUGUGAGGAGAUUAGCGCUUGUGAACUGGAUGCAAAGCAGAAGAGUUGUUGUAUGCUUAUCUGUGUAUGCAACAAGUUGGGCAAAUUGUCUCACACAAGGCACUAAAACAGACUCCUGGAGCAACACGCUGAUAUUUUUCUGCAGUGAAUAAUAAAGUGAUAAAGAAGCAAGGGUCUUUAUCUUGAGGGAUUUGUUGUGAGCGGACAGCAGGGCUGGAAAUUGUCAGGCUAGAUUUUUAAGACCGAAAAAAGCCUGCAGCAGUAUCUUGGUUCAGCCGAAAGUACUGAAAUGGUUCUGUAAUUUUCCAGGUCAUCUUGUAAUGGAAGAAAACGGACCGUGAUGUCGUUAUGGAAAGAUCUCAUGUUUUGUUUGUAGGCAACCUCAGCAGCACUGGGCAGUCAGAAAUUUGCAGUCAGGGUUUCCAGAUGAAAUACAAAAGUCCUGGUUCUGUAGGGGCUUUUGCAUCAUCUCUGAUUAAUUUACAGUUCAAUGUCACAUCAGUUUAUUUAUUGUUCACUUUAUACAUCGUCUGUCUUUUGUAAGAACAGAAAUUCCUUCUGUCUUGCUCUUGUGCCAUUCAGUUUUGAACUGCUGAAUAUCUGGAUGCUGCGUGUCAUGAUGUAAUUGUAUUUCCUAACUCCCGUUACUGCGCUGCAGAAAUAUUUCAUUGUGACAUUGUGACAGUGGAAUUCCUCAUUAAAAUAAUGCUUGGUGUGUCUCGGUGUAGAAGGAGUUCAGAUCACUUGAAACUCGGAUCAGAUUGCUCAGUCACUACGUGUCAUGUGUGCGUUUGUAUUUUCAGCAUGAAAAUGGAAAACAGAAAUGGGACUUGCGGCUCCUUACAUAGAAAGACAUAGAGCACCGUCUGAGUAUGACGUGUUUCCUGACCGUUCAAACGCUCUUUUUUGUUUUUAAAAGCGGCAAUCUCUGCUUGGGAUUAAAGUGCAUUUUACUCUUUUUUCCUCUGAAAGCGUGUGACCUGCAUGGCUUCCAGGGAUCCAUCACUGGGACAGAGCGACUCUCCUGCAGCCUUGCCGAUCGCCGUACGCCUCUUGGGCAGCUCUGCGUCCUCAGCUGCGCCUGCGCGGCCGCCUCCACCUCUAUCCACAGAGGAGCUCCACCUGCUCGAGCCCAAUGGCCAGGCGCUCUGCGAGCUGCAGCCCCUCGGGGCAUCCAGUGCACACAUGAUGAUUGUUGCCAGCCAGUCAGAAAAUGGCCAGGUGCUUCAUGUCAUUCCUUCUGCCCAGCCAGGAAUGGCCCAGGUGAUAAUUCCUCAUGGUCACCUUCUGGAUGUCACUGGCACUCAGGAUGCUUCAGAAGAGAAGUGUGAUGAUGGGAACUUGCAGACUGUGGCAGUGGCUGCUAUAGCAGACAGUGCAAGCAGUUACAUUCUCCAUCCACAAGCAUCUCUCACCAUAUCAAAAAAAUCAGCAACCAGAAUAUUAGAGGACUCCUUUCCCAUCCCUCUCCAGCCCUUGCCAACAAAUGCACCUGCAUGGGCGCGUCGUCUCUGGAACUGUGAGAAAAUUGGGGACUCAUACCGCGGCUAUUGUGUGAGCGAGACAGAAUUAGAGAGUGUUCUAACGCUACACAAGCAGCAAACACAAAGUGUGUGGGGGACACGCCAGUCUCCAAGCCCGGCUAAACCCGCCACACGGUUGAUGUGGAAAUCCCAGUAUGUCCCAUAUGAUGGGAUCCCCUUUGUCAAUGCAGGAAGCAGAGCCAUUGUAAUGGAGUGCCAGUAUGGGCCAAGGAGAAAAGGGUUCCAGUCUAAAAAAGCUGGUGAGCAGGAAAGCACUUCUGGCUAUCUAUACAAAGCCACUUGUCCAGCAAGGAUCUAUAUUAAAAAAGUUCAAAAGUUUCCAGAGUACAGAGUUCCUACUGACCCUAAAAUUGACAAGAAAAUCAUAAGAAUGGAGCAGGAAAAAGCAUUCAACAUGCUGAAAAAGAACUUGAUAGAGGCUGGUGGUAUUGUCAGGUGGUAUGUGCAGUUACCCACUCAGCAAGCCCACCAGUAUCAUGAAAUGGAAACUUCCUGCCUUCCUUCUUCACCCUCCCAUUUUUCUGCUGCUUUUCCUGAGGAGGAGGAGGACAUUGGUAGAGAUGAGAACUGCACUCUGCCUUCCCGCCUUCAUCCCCAAGUGGCAGACAAGAUCCGAGAGCUGGUGUCUCAAGGAAUAGAGCAAGUCUAUGCAGUGAGGAAGCAACUGAGAAAGUAUGUGGAAAGAGAAUUAUUCAAACCUGAUGAGGUGCCAGAGAGACAUAACCUAUCCUUCUUUCCCACUGUGAACGACAUCAAGAACCACAUUCAUGAAGUGCAGAAGUCCCUGAGAAAUGGUGAUGUGGUAUAUAAUUCAGAAAGCAUUCCAGCGACGCUUCAGUGGACCACAGAUGGUGGGAAUGUUCUCACAGAAACAGUGACUGUUACGUUUGCCUCACCACCUUCCAAUGGAAGCUCACCAGGGGAGUCAGUCAUCACCAAAGCAGAAUCCAACCAGAGCGCAGAGACCCUGCUAUCAGAAAAAGCUCAACUGUUGUCUUCUCUCUCUUCACUUCAGCCCAAGAUAUUUGCACAAUUUCAGGGAUUACAGAUGCAAUCAAACUUUACCUCCACAAAUGGGUCAACAGCCCUGAUAGCUGUAAAUAACCAUUCCCAUUCCAAUUCUGCAAAUCUCUUGGAUUCCAUAGAGAGUGCAGUAACCAACCAUCCUCCAGUACUUGGUCAGGGGCACAGUCUGCAAAAAGGUGCUGGCCUAGCACAGCACAGUGCUACUGCCUCUGCUUUUGAGACUUCUCCUGCCACUGAUCAGAAUCUGGUCACCAUGGGCCACCUGGUAGCACUUGACAGGGAAGGGGACUCCAGAAGCCUAGAAGGAGGAAUCCAGCAAGUUCUCUUGGGAGAUGUGCAGACUAUUCCAGUACAGAUUGUGGAAAGCCAGCCUGCACUUCAUGAAAAUAAUACAGAGGCUGGUAUCUGUAUGAGCCAAGUUAAACAAGAGCCAAGAGAAAAAGCACUGUCUGUGGAGCCGGAUAAAAUCAGAGACUGCCAGAGAUCCUCCUCUGUUUAAAUCUGUGAAGGCUGUAUGGAUUUUUCAAGUCAGAGGACUCUAAAUGCCUUGGGAAGAAAGGCAGGUCAGAAGCUAUCCAGCAGGUCUAUCCAACAA